UAUUGCAUUUCCAAUCUGGCAA
rnacentral:miRNA from 2 species